AAUGAACGCUGGCGGCAUGCCUAACACAUGCAAGUCGAACGAGAACAUCGGGUCUAUGGGCGCAUGGGUGUGUAACGCGUGGGAACCUGCCCAUAGGGUCGGAAUAACUCCCAGAAAGGGGUGCUAAUACGGGAUAAUGUCUUCGGACCAAAGAUUUAUCGACUUUGGAGGGGCGCGCGUUGGAUUAGCUAGUUGGUAGGGUAAAAGCCGACGAAGGCGACGAUUAGUAGGUGGUCUCAGAGGCUGAUCAGCCACACUGGGACUGAGACACGGCCCAGACUCUUACGCGAUGCAGCAGUGCCUAAUAUAGGACCGUGGGCGAAAUCCUGAUCCACCAAUGCCCCGUGAGUUAUGAAAGCCUUAGGGUUCUAAAGCUCUUUUACCCGUGAUGAUAAUGACAGUACCGAGAGAAUAAGCUCCGGCUAACUCCGUG
rnacentral:rRNA from 1 species